GACGAACGCUGGCGGCGUGCUUAACACAUGCAAGUCGAACGGAAAGGCCCUGCUUUUGUGGGGUGCUCGAGUGGCGAACGGGUGAGUAACACGUGAGUAACCUGCCCUUGACUUUGGGAUAACUUCAGGAAACUGGGGCUAAUACCGGAUAGGAGCUCCUGCUGCAUGGUGGGGGUUGGAAAGUUUCGGCGGUUGGGGAUGGACUCGCGGCUUAUCAGCUUGUUGGUGGGGUAGUGGCUUACCAAGGCUUUGACGGGUAGCCGGCCUGAGAGGGUGACCGGCCACAUUGGGACUGAGAUACGGGCCCAGACUCCUACGGGAGGCAGCAGUGGGGAAUAUUGCACAAUGGGCGGAAGCCUGAUGCAGCAACGCCGCGUGCGGGAUGACGGCCUU
rnacentral:rRNA from 1 species